rnacentral:rRNA from 1 species
AACGAACGCUGGCGGCAUGCCUAACACAUGCAAGUCGAACGAGACCUUCGGGUCUAGUGGCGCACGGGUGCGUAACGCGUGGGAACCUGCCCUUAGGUUCGGAAUAACUCCCCGAAAGGGGUGCUAAUACCGGAUAAUGUCUUCGGACCAAAGAUUUAUCGCCUUUGGAUGGGCCCGCGUUGGAUUAGCUAGUUGGUAGGGUAAAAGCCUGCCAAGGCGACGAUCCAUAGCUGGUCUGAGAGGAUGAUCAGCCACACUGGGACUGAGACACGGCCCAGACUCCUACGGGAGGCAGCAGUGGGGAAUAUUGGACAAUGGGCGAAAGCCUGAUCCAGCAAUGCCGCGUGAGUGAUGAAGGCCUUAGGGUUGUAAAGCUCUUCUACCCGGGAUGAUAAUGACAGUACCGGGAGAAUAAGCUCCGGCUAACUCCGU